GGGGUUGGCUGCCAGCUGAAUUGUACCUGAAUCUCCUGGAGCUGCUUUGAGUCUGUUCUAUGAUAGUCCCAGCUGGAAGUUAAAGUCACCUAUGAAGGAAGGAAGGAUUCUCUUCUGCCUGUAGCUGGAUGUGAUUUACAUUACAAUCAAAGUUAAGGACUUCAGCUGGUGCUGGGAGCAUACUCAGGAAAGGGAGUUCUGAUUUUACUUACAUGAGUUUCUUGUAAGACUGCACAUGACACUUUUUGUAGUAUUAUGGCUUCAGUUUAAAAUAAAACAUAGGAAUUUGUA